rnacentral:rRNA from 1 species
GGACGAACGCUGGCGGCGUGCCUAGCACAUGCAAGUCGAACGGGACCGGGGGCAACUCCGGUUCAGUGGCGGACGGGUGCGUAACACGUGAGGAACAUGACCUUCGGCGGGGGAUAGCCGGCCCAACGGCCGGGUAAUACCGCGUACGACCUUUCGGGGACAUCCCUGGAUGGUGAAAGCAGCAAUGCGCCGAUGGAGUGCCUCGCGGCCUAUCAGCUAGUUGGUGGGGUAACGGCCUACCAAGGCAACGACGGGUAGCUGGUCUGAGAGGAUGGCCAGCCACAUUGGGACUGAGACACGGCCCAGACUCCUACGGGAGGCAGCAGUGGGGAAUAUUGCGCAAUGGACGAAAGUCUGACGCAGCGACGCCGCGUGUGGGAUGACGGUCUUCGGAUUGUAAACCACUGUCGGGAGGGACGAAUACGCCGCAAGGCGGGUGACGGUACCUCCAAAGGAAGCACCGGCUAACUCCGUGCCAGCAGCCGCGGUAAUACGGAGGGUGCGAGCGUUGUCCGGAAUCACUGGGCGUAAAGGGCGCGUAGGCGGCCUGGUAAGUAGGGGGUGAAAUCCUGCGGCUUAACCGCAGGGCUGCCUUCUAAACUGUCAGGCUGGAUCAC